rnacentral:lncRNA from 1 species
CUUCAUUGAUCUUCAGAAUUUGAAAUAUUGUAUCUAAAGUAAAGGUGUCAACUUUAGUUACCUCGAAAUCUCUGAUAUAUGGAUCCAUUAAAAAAACAGCACAAAUGAAUUUUAUAUAAAGAUUACUAAAUUGGUUUCGCUAUCUCUAGAAUUAUGGAUCCUGGAUUACUACAAAUAAAAUAAUAAAAUAAUGUUCAUAGUUUGAAACUUGUGAUUCAUUUAAAAUAUUUUAGCGUGAUUCAUAUAAAAUAUUUUAGCCUGAACGUGAAGUUGGUGAAACUGUAAAUUUUGAAUUAUUGGGAAAGGACGUCCGUUAUUUUUGGUAAUUAGUUCUCGAUCUGGUGAGCUUCUCAAUAGUUGGGUUGUCUGGAUUCGAUGGUUUUUUUGAGGCUCCACUAGACUUUGACAGGUGUUCUACUAGACUGGUUGAUUGAUUCUCUAGGGCGUUUUUAGGAUAUAAUUAUUCUGGAUUUUCUUGAUUCCUUAUCGUAGAGUAUUCAGCACUAGUUGCUUUCUUGUCUACCUGGUUUUCUAUUUCGUAUAGCUCUUCCAAGGAAAAUUCUUUAUUUUCUACAACGAGUUUAUUACCUUUGAUGUAACAGUGUUUAUUUUGCUGCCUAUCUUGAAUUAGAGAUUUCCGUAAAAUUUGAUAUUCGCAGCGUUGUUGCUCCGUUAGAUCAUGAUAUACUGUUAUACCGCUUCCUUUCAACUUAUCACAGUUUUUCAAAAUUUCGUUUUUUUCAGAUAUGAUACGAAUUCUAUUUUUACUGGUCGAUUUAUAGUUUUUCCAAGGCAGUAAACAUUUUUUAUAUCUCAUUCUUUUACAACUACAUUCAACGUGCUAUUGAGCUGAGUGCAAAUAAAUUCUGAAGUUAUAUUCUCGUUUCGAGCAACCCAUCCAAAAACAAUGAUAUCGUUCUGUUUUUCGUUUCUUUCCAGUUUUACAAUUUUUUCCUUCCUGCCUUUCUCAAGGAGUUUAUCUUAAAAUUCAAGUCUUCAACUUUCGAUAAAAUAUUAGUUUCACAAGCUUCGAUGCUAUUUUUCAAUUCUAUUUUACUAUUUCUAAUUUCUUCCAAUAUUUGAUUGAGUAUCGUAUUAUCCAUUAUUUUUACUCCUCUAUUCACCGCUGCCGGAGCAGUACUCUUAGCCGAAUCUCUUAUCAGUGACAGUUUGCAAUUCAUAAACAGUGAAGACAACAAACUAUUAAUAUUCAGUGUUUGACUCACAUAUAAUAUGGUAUUCCAGAAGAUAUCAACCUUAUCAGAUUUUUUUCACUUUUCAGACAAUUUAUUAUGAUUCUGGAACAAUGAUUUUGAUUAACUAUUUUGGAGAGAGAUGUCUUCAUGUAUAUUAAAAACAAAUCCAUAGUAGGGUGUCUUGUAGCCAUCGCUAAAGACGAGGGACAUCAGAUGCUGUCUUCAGGAGCAAACGAAGUAGAUCUUUGCUCUGAAAAAACGCACCCUAUAAAAUGUGGGAUAUCAAGAAUUUGGGUUGCUCUCAAUCAUCGUAAACAAGGAAUAGCCACAAAUUUGAUGAAUGCUCUCAAAAACAACUUCAUAAUGGGCUAUGCACUUAAGAAUUCCGAUAUCGCUUUCAGCUCUCCAACAGAAAUGGGCAAACAGUUUGCCAUAGGUUAUUUCAAAACGCCAAAUUUUUUCAUAUAUUAUGUUUGAUUUUUGAUGUUUUCUUGACUUGUAUAGUGCCUUAUAGAGCCAGUAUUAAUAUAUUCCUUUUAGAUAUACUCAGUAGUACAAUUAUUAUUAUUGAAGCCAUAUUAUUAUGUAAUGGAGCCUAUUUUUUUAAUGAUAAGAUUUGUUUAUAUCCAUUGAAUUUUUGUAGAAUCUCAUUUAGGGUUAGUUUCAUGAAAUUUUUGUGCCAAACUUGGUUUUGUUAAUAUUUCUGGGUCAGAAAAUAGAGUAUGUUUUCUUAAAAUUUAAUUACAUAUUAUAACUUGCCCUGUAAACUUGGAAUAUUGCAUGUAAUGCGUUUUUUUUAAUCAAAAUCUUUUGAUGUAAAAAUUGAAAAUAUUGUUGAAUAUGUGUUUUACCACCAUAAUUUAUUUUUGUAUUUUUAUAUACUAGAACUGAAUAAACUUUUCAAGGCAAAA